rnacentral:rRNA from 2 species
UACGGAGGGGGCUAGCGUUGUUCGGAAUUACUGGGCGUAAAGCGCACGUAGGCGGCUAUUCAAGUCAGAGGUGAAAGCCCGGGGCUCAACCCCGGAAUUGCCUUUGAAACUAGAUAGCUUGAAUCACGGAGAGGUGGGUGGAAUUCCGAGUGUAGAGGUGAAAUUCGUAGAUAUUCGGAAGAACACCAGUGGCGAAGGCGGCCCACUGGACGUGUAUUGACGCUGAGGUGCGAAAGCGUGGGGAGCAAACAGG